rnacentral:misc_RNA from 1 species
GAAAUGCGAUAAGUAAUGUGAAUUGCAGAAUUCAGUGAAUCAUCGAAUCUUUGAACGCACCUUGCGCUCCUUGGUAUUCCUUGGAGCAUGCCUGUUUGAGUAUCAUGAAAUCUUCAAAGUAAAUCUUUUGUUAACUCAAUUGGUUUCUACUUUGGUAUUGGAGGUCUUUGCAGCUUCACACCUGCUCCUCUUUGUUCAUUAGCUGGAUCUCAGUGUUAUGCUUGGUUCCACUCGGCGUGAUAAGUUAUCUAUCGCUGAGGACACUGUAAAAGGUGGCCAAGGUAAAUGCAGAUGAACCGCUUCUAAUAGUCCAUUGACUGGACAAUACUUUUAUGAUCUGAUCUCAAAUCAGGUAGGACUACCCGCUGAACUUAAGC